UAGGGAAUCUUCCGCAAUGGGCGAAAGCCUGACGGAGCAACGCCGCGUGAGUGAUGAAGGUCUUCGGAUCGUAAAACUCUGUUAUUAGGGAAGAACAAAUGUGUAAGUAACUAUGCACGUCUUGACGGUACCUAAUCAGAAAGCCACGGCUAACUACGUGCCAGCAGCCGCGGUAAUACGUAGGUGGCAAGCGUUAUCCGGAAUUAUUGGGCGUAAAGCGCGCGUAGGCGGUUUUUUAAGUCUGAUGUGAAAGCCCACGGCUCAACCGUGGAGGGUCAUUGGAAACUGGAAAACUUGAGUGCAGAAGAGGAAAGUGGAAUUCCAUGUGUAGCGGUGAAAUGCGCAGAGAUAUGGAGGAACACCAGUGGCGAAGGCGACUUUCUUGUCUGUAACUGACGCUGAUGUGCGAAAGCGUGGGGAUCAAACAGG
rnacentral:rRNA from 1 species